GAUGAACGCUAGCGGCAGGCCUAAUACAUGCAAGUCAAGGGGAUAGCAAUAUCACCGGCGGACGGGUGCGUAACGCGUACACAACGUGCCCAAGGGCGGAGGAAAGCGGCGGGAAACUGCCGGUAAUACUCCAUGGUGUUGUUGAGUGGCAUCACUUAACAACUAAAGUACAAGCGCCCUUGGAUCGGUGUGCGUUCGAUUAGCUAGUUGGCGGGGUAACGGCCCACCAAGGCUUCGAUCGAUAGGGGGUGUGAGAGCAUGACCCCCCACACGGGUACUGAGACACGGACCCGACUCCUACGGGAGGCAGCAGUAAGGAAUAUGGACAAUGGCGGAAGCCUGAUCCAGCCAUGCCGCGUGAAGGACGAAGGCGCUCAGCGUUGUAAACUUCUUUGGAUGGGAACAAUAACUCCGACUUGUCGGAACUUGAGGGUACCAUCAGAAUAAGCACCGGCUAACUCCGUG
rnacentral:rRNA from 1 species